GAGGAGGGUGAGGGCAUUGUCGACGCGCCGAAAGGAAGAGCCGACAAUUACACCAACGACGAUGACAUCUUACUAUGCAAUACUUGGUUGCAAGUGUCGAGGGAUCCAUCCAUUGGAGGUGAUCAAAGUAGAGAUGCUUAUUGGGGGCGGAUGAAAGAACACUUUGAUAUUCACAACGUGAGUGGAAUUGACCGCUCCGAGAGAUCACUUCGGUCCCGAUGGUCGGCAAUCAACUCUGAUUGUCAAAGGUGGGUGGCCUGUCAAAGGCGGUUGACAAGUUUAACCCAAGUGGGACAAAUGAGGACGAUAGAGUAA
rnacentral:rRNA from 1 species